rnacentral:rRNA from 1 species
GACGAACGCUGGCGGCGUGCUUAACACAUGCAAGUCGAACGGAAAGGCCCUGCUUUUGUGGGGUGCUCGAGUGGCGAACGGGUGAGUAACACGUGAGUAACCUGCCCUUGACUUUGGGAUAACUUCAGGAAACUGGGGCUAAUACCGGAUAGGAGCUCCUGCUGCAUGGUGGGGGUUGGAAAGUUUCGGCGGUUGGGGAUGGACUCGCGGCUUAUCAGCUUGUUGGUGGGGUAGUGGCUUACCAAGGCUUUGACGGGUAGCCGGCCUGAGAGGGUGACCGGCCACAUUGGGACUGAGAUACGGCCCAGACUCCUACGGGAGGCAGCAGUGGGGAAUAUUACACAAUGGGCGGAAGCCUGAUGCAGCAACGCCGCGUGCGGGAUGACGGCCUUCGGGUUGUAAACCGCUUUCGCCUGCGACGAAGCGUGAGUGACGGUAAUGGGUAAAGAAGCACCGGCUAACUACGUG